AACGAACGCCGGCGGCAGGCUUAACACAUGCAAGUCGAGCGCCCCGCAAGGGGAGCGGCAGACGGGUGAGUAACGCGUGGGAACGUACCCUUUGCUACGGAAUAGCUCCGGGAAACUGGAAUUAAUACCGUAUGCGACCUACGGGGGAAAGAUUUAUCGGCAAAGGAUCGGCCCGCGUUGGAUUAGCUAGUCGGUGGGGUAAUGGCCUACCAAUGCGACGAUCCAUAGCUGGUCUGAGAGGAUGAUCAGCCACAUUGGGACUGAGACACGGACCAAACUCCUACGGGAGGCAGCAGUGGGGAAUAUUGGACAAUGGGCGCAAGCCUGAUCCAGCCAUGCCGCGUGAGUGAUGAAGGCCUUAGGGUUGUAAAGCUCUUUCACCGGAGAAGAUAAUGACGGUAUCCGGAGAAGAAGCCCCGGCUAACUUCGUGCCAGCCGCCGCCGUAACAC
rnacentral:rRNA from 1 species